UUUUAUACUAUUGUGGUAAAAAAAAUACACUUGAUAUUAUUUUAAUGUUGAAUUUGUUAGGACUUCUUUUGUUGCCUAACAUAUGAUCUAUCCUCCAGAAUAUGUGCUUGAGAAGAAUGUAUAUUCUGCUGAGGCACAAAGCACAGAUAUACAUGGAAGGACUAUGGCUCUGGUAUCUGGUGCAGUAAUGUACCUGAUAUCUGGGGUGCUGGCACCCCUGAUGUUGUGUUAUGGCAAUAUGUGAGGUGAAAAUGCUCGUAAAGUAGCUAGAGGGCCAAGAAUGGGAGCACAGAUGCACACAAAGUUAGAGAGACUCUGUCGUUAGGGGAAGGUCUAGUUCUCUGUGGCAUCUGAGCUGGCACCUUGAGUUGGGUCAUGCAUAGUGAGGACUUGGUUCUCGAGCCUGGAGUGUGGACUAGCUCAUUAUGUCAAUGGCUGUGGUGUCUGAGUCAUCAGUGGGCCCAGUGUAGCCACAGAGCCUGGGUCUGGAGUGUGAUCACUCGCAAAGAGGUUAUGGCUCUACAUUAAGGAAUGCUCAGGGUUGGAAGAGGUGGUGGCUCCUUUCCUGAAGCAGCUCAACGGGGUGGCUACUUCUUGUGGAGAAGGAGAGGUAUGCAGCUGUGUCUCCCUCUCUGGAUUUCCCUAGUAGGAGUGGCUGCGGGUUACCUCAGUGGCAAGGGAUACUGGUGUCCUCUGUGGAGCACUCCUCUGGGUACCAUGACGGUUCCCUGUGCAUGACUGACAUGCCACCUUUCUUCUUUGCUCAUAGCUGUCUCCUGGUGUCUCAGGUAUGCUGUUCUCACCAGAAAUCCUUUCUCUGUGGGUAGUCUCCUUUUUUUUCUCCAUUGUGCUGCUGCAGAAUUUUUAUUGGACCAUUGAGCCCUUUCUGGUCUAUUUUGGUUUGUGAAUAGAUGUUUGUAUUUGUUUUUGUUGGGGGAUGAAGGCUGAUACCUCCUACUCCACCAUCUUGGUCAGUUUUUUUUUUUUUUUAAUUUUUGAGACUUUUCUUUAAAGUUCCUCCUAAAGUAAAAUAUGAUAUUCUUUUGUUGCAUGAUUUUAUCUACAGAUGCCUACUUCAUGGAAAAGAAGGAAAAAAUAAUUAUGAGAACAAAUACAUGUUCACAUCUCAUCAGUGGGACCUGCCAUAUAUGCCUACUUGUUAUGUGUAUCUUCUUUCAGACUUGCUCAAACAGACACACUGUGUUCUGCGGUGGACAGGUCUAUGCAAACCUACCCCCAAAGUCCAAGGAAGCUGAGAGGCCAAAGAAAGAGGCUGAUAAAUCCAGUUUCUUAGAAAGAAACAUUUAAUAGGGACUAACAAACAGAAGCUAUUGGAAAAUCCAAAUCCAGGGCUUACUUACCAUAAGGAAAGGGUAUACAUGAUUCAGAAGAAAUCUGUAGGAAAAUUGAAGUACAAUAACAUCAAGAUUGUUUUGACCUAAGGGCAAGAAUUAUGGUAAGUAUGUGCUCUUACACAAGGAACAACAGAUAAACUGGAAAUUUUUUGAGGCUUUCCUGGAACUGAGGUUAAUCAGAAGUAAAUAUGGCAGAUUAGCAUCCAAGAUAGAGUAACUUUAGCCUCCACAUACUUAUUUUCUCAGUUUAUAUGCUGUAGGGAGCACUAACAGAACCUUCAGAUACUAUUUGCUGUCACUUUUUAAAUCUAAGGUGUCCAAAGUCUUAGAGUUUCCCAGGUGCCAUCUAGCCCCAAGUAAUGAACAUGAAACAGCUUUCCAUUUGUCCAUACUUAAUUUUCCAUGUUUCAUUUACAUUAUUACUCAUUACAUUGUUAUACUUGUACAUCUGGAACCUAAUCUGGAAAAUCUUGGUGCGAAAAGGAAGUGAUUUCUGGAAUUUAGUUUUCAUGUGUCCACACUACUACAAAAAUCCCUUGGUUGGUUUAGAGAUGCAUCCCAUUUAGAACCUGACCUGAUUUUGUGUUAUAAGUGCUGGGCAUGUGUAUCUUUUCCAUUCCUUUUAUUAUUUUUAAUUGCACAAGGAAGGUACUUUAAGAGUGUUUUAAUGUGCACAUAUUGAUUGUUCCUGGGCCCUGGGCUGAGUGAGACUCUGACUCAACUUAUACCCCGAACCCACUGUGUCAGGAUUCUUCCCCUCCAGAGACUGUGGUGCUGAGCCCUGGGUGGUUUCAUGCAGUCUCUCCCCCUUUCCAUCCCUUGUGGAAGUCACUGCUCGGCUAACUAGGUAGCUAAACAGAGGAGCCUACUUUCAAUUUAAGGGGAUGCAUUUGGGAGAAUACAGAGAGAGACAUUGUGCUCAUGCAUUUUGCAUUGCUAUAAAGGAAUAAUACCUAAGGUGAGGUAAUUCAUAAUGAAAAGAGGUUUAUUUGGCUCAGAGUUCUGCAGACUGUACAAGAAACAUGGUGCCAGCAUCUGUUUCUGGAAGCUUUUACUCAUGGUAGAAGGCAAGGGGAGGUGGCAUGUCACACGGCAAGAGAGGAAACAAUAGAGAAAAGAGGAGGUGCCAGGCUCUUUUUAACAAUCAGAUCUUAUGGUAACGAAUGGAGCCAAAACUUACUCAUUACCACAAGGAUAGCACCAAGCCAUUCAUGAGGGAUCUGCCCGCAUGACCUAAACACCUCCCGCCAGGCCCCACCCUCAACAUUGGAGAUCACAUUUCAACUUGAGAUUUGGAGGAGACAGAUAUUCAAACUGUAUCACGCGUGUUAUGAAACUACUUUCAUUUCAUUUCAUUUUCAUUUCAUGACCUUCACUGAAAUCCUAGGAAGAAGAGACAUUGCCUGACAGCAGAAUGUAAGGUUCAUUUGAGAGGCAUGCUUGUCCUUUCCCUGGGCAUCUGUAAUUUCGCUGAAGCCACUCAGUUGGAGCUGUAAUUUCCCUGAUGCUGCUCAGCUUUUCCUGAAGCUAUCAUGUGGAUAGAUUAAUAUAUUAGUUUUGUGACAACCAUAUUACCUAGUUCCUUUGGCUCAGGGAUGUUCCCCAUUCUGAUGCUAAGCCAUUUUCCUGUGGGAAGGACUGGAGAUUUUGUUUUUUUUUGGAUUAUUUUUCUCACUUCCAAACCCAACAUGCUUUUGUUGGAAAAUGCACAAAAGGAAAAAUAUCAUUAGAAACCCUAAAAAUUCUAUUAUUCAUGAAUAAGAACUGUUAACUUUUGAAUAUUGCUAUGGUUUGAAUGUCCCUUCCAAAACUCAUAUUAAAAUUUUAUUGACAUUAUAACAGUGUUGAGAGGUGGGGCCUUUAAGAGGUGAUUAGGUUAUGAUAGCUCUGCCCUCAUGAAUGAUUUAAUGCCAUUAUUGUGAUAGUAAGCUUCUAAUAAAAGAAUGACUUCAGCCCGAUUUUUUCUGUCUUCUGCACUCACUUCUGCUUCCCACACUUCCGUCAUGGGAUGACCCUUGGCCAGAUGCCAGCACUAUGCUGUUGGACUUGCCAGCCUUCAGAACAGCGAGAAAUAAAUUUCUUUUCUUUAUAAAUUAUCCAGUCUCUGGUAUUCUGUUAUAGCAUCAGAAAAUGGACUAAGAGAAAUAAACAUUUUUCCAGAAGUUUUACUAUGCAAAUGUAACUAUACUUAAAACAAAAAUCAGAUAAUAUCCUACUUAUAGCUUUAUAAACUGCCUUUUUAUGAAAAACAUCAUAUUUCGAAGGUCAAUCUAUAUCAAUCAAUAUAAAUCCACAUAAUAACAAAAAUGGCCAUAGAAGCAGUAAUGGUCUAUUCAGGUAUAAUAAUAAUAAUAAUAGCUAAUGUUUAUUGUGAUUUCCUCAAUGCCUGAUACUGUUGCAAGUGCUAAACAUAUACUUAAUCAUUUAAUCCUCACCAUAUUAUAUGAUGAGGCACUGUUGUUGUCUGACUUUAAACAUAAGGGAACUGAGGCAUAGUGAGGAUAGGGCUAGCAAGUGCUGAGACUUCAAUUUGAACACAGGCUGUGUGGCUCCCAAGCCCUUACAUCUAAUCAGUAUAUGCCACUGCCUCUCAUAUGAGAACACCAACCGUAUUAUUUAUCAGAAUAAAGCAAAAUAUAUGAAAUUAAGAUACUACAUUUUUCCCCAUUUGACUAAGCAGAGAUUUAAAAUAUUGAAAAAAAUGAAUGUGAUUUGGGAUUUGGGGAAAUGUGUCCUGGAAUACUGUGGAAGGGGCUGACCAGCAUCUUGUCUCCCUUCCUGUUUCUCAAAGACGUUCCUAUUCUGAAGCGAGGGGCUUUGCUGUAGGUGGAGCAGAGAAUGGUUAUGUUUCCCAGUGAUUUUAUUCUUUUGCAUAUUUAUAAGACCAAUAGGUGUUUAUUACAGUUAAAAAAGUGAAAACAUAGGACAUAAAAUAAAAUAACCAUUCCUCAAACAUAACACCUAAAAAUAAGACCUGCUAAUGUUUUCAUCCGCAUUAUUUUCUUAGAAGUUUUCUCAUGUAGGAAUUUAUACACUUAUGCAUGUAUGGACGCAUUUAUAUAUUUAUAUGAAAAAGACAAGAUCUCAUUUUAGUUUUUUAACCUGCCUAUGUCAAUAUAGUGGGUUGGAUAAUAUCCUCCAAUAAUAUAUGUCCAAGCCUUAGCCCUUAGUACCUGUGAAUGUAAUAUUAUUUGGAAAUAGAGUCAUUGCAAAUAUAAUUUAGGAUCUCAAGAUGAGAUGAUUCUGGAUUUAGUGUGGGCCCUAAAUCUAAUGACUGGUGUCCUUGUAACAGAGAGGAUGGGGAGAUUUGACAUACACAGGAAAGAAGGUCAUGUGAAGAAGGAGGCAGAGAUUGGAGUUAUGCUGCCAUAAGCCAGGGAAAGCUAUGAGUCACCAGAAGCUGGAAGAGGCAAGAAAAAAAUUGUCUUCCCAAGCCUUCAUGGGGAGUGUGACCCUGUCAAAACCUUGAUAUCAGGCUUCUGGUCUCCAAAACUGUAAGAAAAUAAAUUUCUGCUGUUUAAAGACACAAAUUUUGUGGUAAUUUGUUGUGGUAACCCUAGGAAACUAGUAUACUCACUAACAACAUAUCUAAAAUGUCAUUAAUUGUAAAUAAACACCAGUCUAUGUCUUAUAUUGAUGUGGCUGUAAGGAUAGUAAUAUCAGUGACACAUUAAAGAAAUUUUAAAUUGACUAAAAUUUCUUGUAACAAGUGAUUUUUAUAUGUAUUGAGUCAUUCACUGCUCAUAGCUCCCUUACGAGAUAGAUAUUGUGGCUAAUCUCUGUUUUAUAGAUGAAAAACUGAGGGACAGAGAGAGUGACUUUGCCCAAGACUACACAGUUAGGGAGUGGGUCAGCUUGGAUUUGUGCCCAGUACAUGUUGCUCCAGAGCCUGGAAGCUGUCACAAAUUUGUUAAGUGAAAGCAGUCUGCACAAGUGAGCGUAUUUUAGGAGGUCAUUAAAAGUAAUACUAAGUGUUUUAAUACAGUUACACAUUUACGCAAACAUUGGACCUAGUGACAAAAGGUGGUUUGUGAUCUUGGAGAGCCUGUUCAUUGCAAUCAAGGGACAGAAGCCAUAGUAGGGGGAUAAGGAGUCAACAAAGUGAACAAUGUUAACAGAGACUGUAGAGAACUGUUUUUGGUACUUUGAAUUUGAAGGAGGUAGGAAGAGACAGAGAGAGAAUGAAUUAAAUAUCCUAUUGCUGAAUGAGUAAUAAGGGGUUAAGGAGGGAUAUUUUAGAAUCAAUUCCUUUAAACUUAAGUACAUUCAAAAGUUAAUGUAAAGGAGCUCUCUAAUCUCAGAUGUAACCUUGAAGUUGUCCAUAUAUUUAUUUCCCUACUACCAUCUCAUUUCUAUUAUGGAGUUAAUGAGACACCUCCAUUGGAAUACUAUGGGCUUUGAGUGAAAUACAGAUUUAGUUAUUAGUGAUUAAAAGUGGGAAAACUGUGUGAAAGAAGUGCUCAUAACUCUUGGACUUUUACCUCUCAGGGAGGCAGCAGGUGGCUGAAAUUCUGGCGUGCUGUGACUGGAUAAUGCAUGAUCUGAGGACCCCUAUACUGAUGACUGUGGAUGGGGCCACAUUUUUUUCUACAAAUAUAUUCAUAUACUGAGCAGUCAGGAGCAGCCCUUAGGCAAAUACCACACCUUGCUUCUCUGGUGUGAUUGAUAUCUGAGCUCACCAGGUGAGUUCAAAAACAUGCCCAUGUUCCCAGCAUUGGGAACUGGGUCUGCUGAAAGGCCUGAUGUUGGCCAGCUUUUAUGAGAUUAUGAAGCACCCAAGAAUGUAGAGAACGUUCUGUUUCUAAAACUUUGAACUCAAGGCAUAUCAGAGAGAGAUUUGCCUUCGUUAUAUGGAUGUCUGUGUUCUCAUUAGGAGAGAAACAAUGAAAAAUAACUUUUCACAAUGCCUGCCUUAGCCUUGAGGCUCAACCAGCCCCCAUUUCUGUGUCUCAGCAUUUAAAGGGCUAUUGAAGUCCCACUCCAUGCUAUAUAUUCUCCACAGGUUUUCUCAUUAACUCCUCAGGACAGCUCUGUAAGGAUGGUAUGGUCAGUCCCAUUUCACAGAUAAUCAGGCUCAGACUCACAGAGUCUAAAUCACCUAAAGUGGCAGGAUUGGAAUGAGGUUCCAUCUCUCACCCUCCCUAGAGGACCCUGAGCAGCCUCCCUUUUAGAAGAUGGGCUUCCGGGACUUGAGAAAUGGUCAGAAUCCAUUGCCCUGCUAUUCUGGACCCAUGCAUCCUCACUCCACAGCCCCUCUGGGUGAUGAAGAAGACAGAGAGAUGAUAUCCUGCCCCUUGUGCCGAGAGACCUGGUUGUUGGGCUGCAAGAAUUGGCUGAUUCCUGAAGUGGUGAGUGGGCUCAGUCAGAAGCUCAGGUGUUGGCUUUGGGACAGGUGAGCUGGACAGAAGGAAAGUAACAUGCCCUGAACUACUGAAAGCAAAUGCACUCUAUAUUUCAUCUCCUUUAAUCUUUUUGUUUUUGUCUGUUUCGGUAGAGACAGUGUCUCGCUAUGUUGCCGAGGCUUGCCUUGAAUUCCUGACCUCAAGUGAUCCUCCCACGUCAGCCUUCCAAAGUGCUGGGAUUACAGUCAUGUACCACCUCACCUGGCCUCCUUUAAUCUUAAUUGCUAUCCAAGGUCUCUGAAUGCUCUAAUCUCCCUCCUGGCUGACAGUACGGGCUCCUCAGGUAUUUUCCAAAGUUUUUUCUUUUUAAAUUAUGACAUGUAUAAUUUUUAAGUCUCAUUAUGGAAAUUUAAAAUGCUUUCCAAAUGAAAAAUAAAAACCCAGUAACAAUUGUAUUAAAACGAGGAAGGAAACACUUUUAAAACUACAUCUCAGAUAUUGGGUUGGUGUCUGUGAUUUGUGAAACAUAGUUGUUAACAAACUGGCAACAAUUUCAACAGAUAAUUCAAAUAAGUAUAUACGUGAACAAUAAAUAUUAAAAAACAGAGAAACCACAAGAACUAAUGAGAUGCAAAUAUUUUAAAAUCCUGAGAAUUUAUAAUAAGUGGAAACAACAAGAUACAAAAGAUGAGGACUGUGAUUGCACAUUUGGAACAGACAAUGUGUGUGUGUGUUGGGGGGAGGGGUGAACGUGUUCAUGUGCACCUCACAGGGACACAUCUAGAGAGUAUGCAGAAUCCUGGGGACAGCAGACCCCUUGGAAUCAAGGGGUGGGAGUUGGACCAGUGAGAGUGCAGAUUAAUUUCAAUUUAUGAAUGUAUUCAUAUAUUGUUUGAAAUUCAGUAUUUGGGAAUAAAAUAUUUUGAUAAAGAUUUGAACACACAAGAAAUUUUUGAACUGAUUGUCAAAGGUAAUAUGCACAUAUUUUCAUUAAUUUGAAAAAGAAUUCAUUGUGUUAUAUGGUGAAAGAAAUAAAACAUCUAAUUGACUGUGUGUGUGUGUCCUCUAGCUCUAUCACCCCAUAUACACACUCACAGAUGUAGCAUUAUCUUUCAUUCGGGUGGGCACUGUAACCAAUCUGAGUUUUAUAUAUCCUAAAACGUGAUGAAUACAAGGAGACUGCUAUCAUUAGGUCAAUAAUUCAAAAAAACCUCUGGUUGAUAUAGUGAAGCUAACUUCCAACCUCAAUCCCUUUCUCUCCCCUGCUGAGCCUCUGGUCUGACUCUCAAUGCUGCGAUCCUGUCUUUGGCUACCAGGAGGCAUCACAGCUAUCUCCAUGUCUUUUGUUCUUUUAUUUUAGAAAAGGAGUACAUUUUGCUAAGAGUAACAAAUGUUAUGAAGUGAUUUGUUUACUAUGACACCAGUUCUAUUUGGAAAAUUCACAUAUUAAAGCAGGUCCAUUUGCUGUUGAUUCCAAAUCUACAUCAUGUUCAUUCAUUUAUCUCUUCUCUCCACGAUAUAGGUUGAGGUGUCCAUAAGGUGGAUAGGUUCCUCCCAGAGAGCAGGGCAUUCACUCUUCAUUACUGCACCCCUGUACAGGCUUCCCAGGCCUUCUCCCAACCCCUCUCAGUCAUCCUCUCUCCUGGACACUAUGAACACAGCUGCCCAGGUCCUAUAUCAGUGACCCAUCCACUCUCAGCCACCUCCUGCCUGCCCUGCACUGACCAAUGACGACUGGUGACUGCCAAGAUGCACUAGAGCUACCUGGUGUUUCAUGGCAUGGAUUUCCUAGAGGAUAUGUUUUUACAGUCUUCUUUUUUACCCCUAUCAUUUUUUUUUUCUUCCCAGUAUGGGGAAGUGGAUUUGGGUCUGCUCAGAGGCAUGACGUUGAACAGCUUUUAUGAGAUUAGAAAACACCCAAGAAUGUAGAGAACAUUCUGUCUCUAAAACUUUGAACUCGAGGCAUAUCAGAGAGAGAUUUGCUUUCCUUAUAUGGAUGUCUGUGUUCUCAUUAGGAGAGAAACAAUGAAAAAUGACUUUUCACAAUGCCUGCCUUAGCCCUGAGGCUCAGCCAGCCCCCACUUCUGUGUCUCAGCAUUUAAAGGGCCAUUGAAGUCCCACUCCAUGCUAUAUAUUCUCCAUAAGUUUUCUCAUUAACCCCUCAGGACAGCUCUGUAAGGAUGGUAUGGUCAGCCCCAUUUCACAGAGGCUCACAGAGUCUAAGUCACCUCCCCAGAGACAAGGUCCUGCUAUGUUGCCCAGGCUUGUCUUGAAUUCCUGGCCUCAAGAGAUCCUCCCUCCAUGGCAUCCCAAAGCACUGGGAUUACAGGCAUGAACCACCUCACCUGGCCUCCGUUAAUCUUAACUGCUAUCUGAGAGGGGCUUAAUGGAAACCUCAUACUAUGUCUGCUGGACAGGACACCGGAGCAAGGAUACUGGAGAGCUCUCUGCAUCCUGGCACAAAAUCCAAACCAGUAACUCUGGGACGUUCUUGACUCAGGGUUAAUCUCAGAAACCUGGUAAUCCAUAUGACCCCACAGCUAUGCCUCAUGGCCCAAAGGGUCAGAUUUCAUCUCCACAGUCGUCUUCCUCAACGUGAAGGGCUGUUGAUCCUACUCAUGGAGGACUCUGUGUUGAACCAAGGUGCUUCAUGCAACAGCCCCAGCUGAGCUCCCAGCAGAUGCCAGCACCAUUCGCCAUCCAUGAUAAGCCUCCGAUGCAAUCACUUGUGUUAAGAAAUUGAGAGAAUGUUGAUAUAAACUGUUCCCUGAGCCAUAUGGAAAGCUGUAUCUUCUGCAGGUUGCUUGUGUGACGUGGGUGAAGGAGUUCUUAUUGAGCCAUGGGAGGAAGAAAUAGUACAGAAGAGCAAAGAAUAAUAAUGAGUCAGCUAGACAGAAGACAGGAGUCAUCAGAUUUGUACCCCAGUUACUUGACCCAUCAAUUGACUGUGUUUUCUGGGGUGAGUCUCUUCCCUCUGCUGGCCUCUGUUCUAACACAGAAGGACAUUCAGUAUAGAAACAGUGAUUAGUGAGAAGGACUGGGAUUUGACCCUGGGAACCAUUACUUGCUGGUUGCAUGAUCUAUAUCAACCAAUUCAUCUACUGUGUGCCCUGUAACCAUUUAUGUCUUUUAUUAUUAUUCCUGUCACACAUACAAAGACUGAAUGAAAAAGUGGGGAUUACUUUGCCAGGUAGUACAAUGUUCUCUGAGCAUAUAAUUUCAUAAGUUUUGGACAGAGUGGUUGACAUGCAGGUUAAAGAAGUUUAAAGAAAGCUCUGGAGUAGACCCAGGCAUAUAACAUCAUUUAAGAUGCUACAAGUAUGGCAUUUCUAAUCAAAUGCAUUGUUAAGGAAUUGGGUCUGGGCCAGCUGUAAAGUGUUCAUUAAAAAGCAAAGUUAGAUUAUAUCUUAUACCUUGUCAUGUACGCAGAAUGUUUCAUCCACAUGUUAGUACUUAAGAUAAAAGCAAAACUGAAAAUAACAACAAAAAACUCAGGAUACUGUACUGUAAUGUAAUUAUAAUAGCUUUAUGAUUGCAUUUGUAAUGCAUGUACAGUACAUGUGCAUAUAUCCAUGUAUAAAAAAAUCAUUAGAAAGAUCUAGUACCAUGUUAAUUUUAAUUAUGAUGGGAUUGCUGGCUCUUGAUAUUUUUAACCUCUGCAUUUGGCUCAAUAUUAAACAUUUGCUAAGGUGAGAGUAUGGAUUGUACAUAUUCCAUACCCCAUGCUUGACUUACUAUGGGAGUUACAUCCUGAUAAACUCAUUGUAAGUUGAAAAAUAAUUGUAGGUCAAAAAUGGGCAUUUGUAGACAAGAUGGGAUGUGAAAACACAAAACAAUAUUAAAAAAUGCUGGCAACACUGUACACUGUAGAGUCUCAGUUGUUUAUCCUCAUGAUUGCAUGGCUGACUGGGAGCUGUAGCUCACUGCUGCUCCCUAACCAGCAUCACAAGAGAGUAUAAUACUGCAUUUUUCUAGCCCAGGAAAAGAUCAAAAUUUAAAACUUGAAGUAUAGUUUCUAUUGAAUGUGUACCACUUUCACACUAUCAUAAAAUUGAAAAAUUAUAAGUCAAAACAUCAACAGGGAAUAUCUGUAUUUAUGAUAAAAACUAUAUCCCCUAAAACAUCUGCUACUUGUGAAAUGUUUCAAAUAGAAAACAGAGAGAACUAUGAAAUCAGUCCAGCUUAGGAAAAACUUUACUCCUCCCUAAUUGUAUCUCCUUCCUUCUCUGCUAUCGAUAAUCAGCAUCCAGAAAGCAAUGAUUAUAAUUCCCAAAUGUGACUUUAUCCUUUUAUUCCAUAUGAAAGCUUCCCUAAACAAAACAUAGUAUUGUUUUGCAUGUUUCACCACAAACACACAUAUACCUGAUCCUUACACUCAAGAUAGCAUUAUGAUGUGUUCAAGGGGAGAUCUUUGUCAAGAUGCUGGCACGGUAUUUGGUGUGUCAUGGACAGUGCCAGUGUUUGCUUCCUUCCCAUCUCAACUCUUCUGAUCUUUAACAGGGAUGUUGUUUCAUAAUCUGGAUAGCAUCACUAUAUUUUAGUGAGUACUUGGGAAUGUGAGGGAACCACACACACUCAUCUAUAUUAUGUAGGAAGUUAGAUGCCAUCUCUGUGCUAUGCAAUGUGAUGAAGUUGGGAUGAGGGAAGAAUACUCACUCUUUUCUAUUGUAUGAUGCUAUGGUAGUGAGUUACACUUAGUGAACCUUACCUUGCUCAUCAAUAAAACUAGCAUAUUGAUAUUUACCUCACAGGAGUGUUAUAAGGAGAAAUGAGCAAAACUAAAGAAACCAUCUGAUACAUAAUACUUCAAUAAAUAUAUAUUUGGUCUCCCCUUGGUUUUCCCUUCCUCAAAAGACUUAAACAUGAACCUCCUACAGAGACCAUUUAAAUUUGAAACAUUGGGAAAGGAAACAUACAUACUUAUAUGUUAUAGAACACCUUUGGUGACAUUUUUUUGUGGAUGAGAUACCUGAGAAUGGUGGAAGUUUGGGAUCAAAUAAUCACUUUGUUACUUUUUAUUUGAUGUGUUCUUCUCUUCCUUUUUAUCUUCCAUUGUGACACUGGAAUAGGAACCUUUGUUUGAACCCCAGAAAGGAGACAGUACAGAAUAAAAAAGCAUAAAGAUGAGUAUUCUGUACAACAGACUGAAAUCAGGAGACCUGGGGACUGAAUGCCAGAUUUGACCUUGUCUAGAAGAUACUUUCCCUGAGCUGAACACAGCACUUAUUGAGAAAAAGAUUGUAUAUCCCAAUGGUUAGGGAUGGUGACUUGAGAGUCAGAGCUUAGUUUGAACUUGGAAUCAUUUAAUAACUCAAUUCAUGCUGUCUGGCAAAUCUUGAAUGUCUCAAUAUAUUAGACUCACAUGCAAUGAAUGUACAUUAUGAUGCAUGCAUACAGAGAAUAAUGGGGUAAUAUACACAUGCAAU